UGCAGUCGAACGGUAACAGGUCUUCGGAUGCUGACGAGUGGCGAACGGGUGAGUAAUACAUCGGAACGUGCCCGAUCGUGGGGGAUAACGGAGCGAAAGCUUUGCUAAUACCGCAUACGAUCUACGGAUGAAAGCAGGGGACCGCAAGGCCUUGCGCGGACGGAGCGGCCGAUGGCAGAUUAGGUAGUUGGUGGGAUAAAAGCUUACCAAGCCGACGAUCUGUAGCUGGUCUGAGAGGACGACCAGCCACACUGGGACUGAGACACGGCCCAGACUCCUACGGGAGGCAGCAGUGGGGAAUUUUGGACAAUGGGCGCAAGCCUGAUCCAGCCAUGCCGCGUGCAGGAUGAAGGCCUUCGGGUUGUAAACUGCUUUUGUACGGAACGAAAAGACUCUUUCUAAUAAAGAGGGUCCAUGACGGUACCGUAAGAAUAAGCACCGGCUAACUACGUGCCAGCAGCCGCGGUAAUACGAAGGGUGCAAGCGUUACUCGGAAUUACUGGGCGUAAAGCGUGCGUAGGUGGUGGUUUAAGUCCGUUGUGAAAGCCCUGGGCUCAACCUGGGAAUUGCAGUGGAUACUGGAUCACUAGAGUGUGGUAGAGGGAUGCGGAAUUUCUGGUGUAGCAGUGAAAUGCGUAGAGAUCAGAAGGAACAUCCGUGGCGAAGGCGGCAUCCUGGGCCAACACUGACACUGAGGCAC
rnacentral:rRNA from 1 species